rnacentral:rRNA from 1 species
UGACAGUACUCCUACGGGGAGGCAGCAUGGGGGGAAUAUUGCACAAUGGGCGCAAGCCUGAUGCAGCCAUGCCGCGUGUGUGAAGAAGGCCUUCGGGUUGUAAAGCACUUUCAGUCGUGAGGAAGGUAGUGUAGUUAAUAGCUGCAUUAUUUGACGUUAGCGACAGAAGAAGCACCGGCUAACUCCGUGCCAGCAGCCGCGGUAAUACGGAGGGUGCGAGCGUUAAUCGGAAUUACUGGGCGUAAAGCGCAUGCAGGUGGUUUGUUAAGUCAGAUGUGAAAGCCCGGGGCUCAACCUCGGAAUAGCAUUUGAAACUGGCAGACUAGAGUACUGUAGAGGGGGGUAGGAAUUUCAGGUGUAGCGGUGAAAUGCGUAGAGAUCUGAAGGAAUACCGGUGGCGAAGGCGGCCCCCUCGGACAGAUACUGACACUCAGAUGCGAAAGCGUGGGGAGCAAACAGGAUUAGAUACCCUGGUAG